rnacentral:rRNA from 1 species
GGCCUAACACAUGCAAGUCGAACGAUGAUCCCAGCUUGCUGGGGGAUUAGUGGCGAACGGGUGAGUAACACGUGAGUAACCUGCCCUUGACUCUGGGAUAAGCCUGGGAAACUGGGUCUAAUACCGGAUAUGACUCCUCAUCGCAUGGUGGGGGGUGGAAAGCUUUUGUGGUUUUGGAUGGACUCGCGGCCUAUCAGCUUGUUGGUGGGGUAAUGGCCUACCAAGGCGACGACGGGUAGCCGGCCUGAGAGGGUGACCGGCCACACUGGGACUGAGACACGGCCCAGACUCCUACGGGAGGCAGCAGUGGGGAAUAUUGCACAAUGGGCGAAAGCCUGAUGCAGCGACGCCGCGUGAGGGAUGACGGCCUUCGGGUUGUAAACCUCUUUCAGUAGGGAAGAAGCGAAAGUGACGGUACCUGCAGAAGAAGCGCCGGCUAACUACGUGCCA